UACGUAGGUGGCAAGCGUUAUCCGGAAUUAUUGGGCGUAAAGCGCGCGCAGGCGGUCUCUUAAGUCUGAUGUGAAAGCCCACGGCUCAACCGUGGAGGGUCAUUGGAAACUGGGAGACUUGAGUGCAGAAGAGAAGAGCGGAAUUCCACGUGUAGCGGUGAAAUGCGUAGAGAUGUGGAGGAACACCAGUGGCGAAGGCGGCUCUUUGGUCUGUAACUGACGCUGAGGCGCGAAAAGCGUGGGGAGCAAACAGG
rnacentral:rRNA from 1 species